CCUCAACUGAUUUUUUUGUAAAUCAUUUCUUCAUCGUCUCAAUCGACAGAGCUCUCCACCGAAAAUUUGUUCAUCUUUUUUACAGAUCGAUUAAUUAUCCAAUUUGUUCAUCCUUUUUACAGAUCGAUUAAUUUUCCAAAUUUCUUUGCUUUCUAUCUCGAUCUCUUGUCCUUCUAGGUCUAAUCCCAUCCCUGAAACUGUAGAAACAAAGAGAGAUGGCACCAAAUCGGUGAAAAGAUUUAUGUAUAUAUCAGAUUUAGAAGAGGAGAUUCAGAACUUCUAUAUGUGAGAAUCAAUAUUCUCUGAAAACUAUGAUUUCUCUUCAAAAUCCUCUUUCGGUUCACAAUUGAUGUUUCAAUAUAUCAUCUGCUAAUGAUUCUUAUCAUUCUGAGUAAAGAAGAACCUGCACAAUCAAUAGGAUUCAAGUUUGUUUACUUGUCUUAGGAGAAACGUUAAAUUUUAUAGGAGCGAUCUUGAAGUUUGUAAGUAUUAUAAUUGUCUUUUUGUUUUAUUGACAUAUGUUGAUUUGGAAAUUGGAUUUGGUUUUGUUUUGUUUUGUUUUGAUUAGUUGGAUUUGGGGAUUCUGGUGAAUUUGUAUAUACUGAAUUAGAAGUUCAAGCACUCUGUCUUGGAUUUAGGAAACAGUUCCCAAAAAAUGGACUUGACAUUCUUUCAAAAGGAGUUGAAUUUUUUUUCCAGAUUGUUUUAUUCGGUCGUGAUGCAUUGCUAUGUAAUUUGAGAGUCAUAUAUAUCUUUUGCGGCUUGACUGAUGGAAGAUGAAGAUCUUGCAUUUGGGUGUUGUGUGCAUUCAGUCUGUCCUUGUUUGUCGGCCUCUUAAUAUUUUCUUCUGGAUGACAAGGCCAGGCAGUUUACUGGAGGGGAGGAUUGUAGAUUUCUCCUCAGAACUGUUUCUGGGGGAUUUUCUCUGCUCAUUUUGUGCAUAUGUGGAUAAAGCUUUUCUUUACAUAAUAAUGUGUUGUAGUCUCAUCCAUCCGUGCAGCCUUUACUGAUCGGCCUUGAAUUGCAUGACAUUGAGUACGUUUCUGGAAAGUUUUUCUCGCCUCCACCAUUCACUUUGGUUACCAUCCAAUAUCCACAGGUCCCUUGGUUCAAGAAGGAUAAGUUUCUAAGGAUGUUUAGGAGUGUCAUCGAUGGAAAUGGUAAAGAAAUUCAGGUAAUAUCAUCACUUUAAUUUGAUUCGUUUUUGUUAUUGUACUUACUGUAAAAAAAUGUGAUUAAUAGAACUUCGUGUGAAUUUUAUAUUGUUAUUUUCUGUUCCCUGAACUAUAGAAAAAAUUGAUUUGUUAUGUUAACUUCUUGUACUUGAAAUCGGGUCAAAUAGGUUGAAUAUAUGCAAACGUGGGUUGUCUAUAGAUUACUAUGUUAUUAUAACGUAUUAGUGGGUCUUAUUAAUACAUUGUCAUUGUCCAGAGUUAAAACUCCUUAGACUUUGUUUUAUUUCUCUGAGAAGUUCUUUGAUAAAUGUAUUCGGCACUGGGUCGGCCUUAAUCCUUAAAUUGCUUCGGGUGAUGAUGGAAGCUACCUAUAAUUGAGUGUAAAAUUUCUGAUGUAUGUCUUCCUUUUUUUUCUCUUUUCUCCCAGUGAAUUCAAUGUAGUUAAACAACAAUAAUAUGGUUCAACAAGUGUACUUGAAAUAAAGUACUCAUGUUUUGACUACUAUUAUGUUUCCGCUGCAUAAGUUCUUCUUUCUACAAUUUGUUAAUUUACUUUUGCCAUCAGGAUUGUGUAAUUGGUUUAUCAUUAUCUUUUGAAUAAAAACCCGGAGAAGUUCUUGA